GCUUGACAAAUAUUUUUAUACUCAAUUAGUAAAAGCCAAUUCAAACUCCAUUGUAAAUAAGUAAUAAUGACAGCUAAUCGUUAUUGACAGAUUUCUCUGUUCCAGGUGAUCUACUAAGGCCUUAUGCAUAUUCACUCAUUCGAUCCUUGGAAUAACCCUAUGAGAUUCUAAGCAACCAGAAGCCAAGAAAGUGCCAAGUCCAUAUUUGAAUCUGUUACAGGACUUUUCCAGAAGCUCAAUAAGAAGUAAACUGAAAUCCUCCAAGUUCCUCUCUUUCAUCAUUCAUGCAGAAUGACUUCCUGCUGACAAAUUCAAGUUUUUCUGAGGUUUCCAGGCUGAAGCGAUCCUUCCCUGUCAUCAGCCGCCGCCAGAGCGUGUGCGUGGCCUCCUCGACCUGGCUGCCAGCAGGGUGUCCGAUGCUGAGUGCAGAGAACACGCUGAACUCUUCUGCUUCCAGCCUGUGAACCUCUCAGUAAGCUUCAGAAUACCUGGGUCUGAACAGAGAAAGUUCAGAACACCUUUCCUGGCCAGAAAAGUCUUGCACGGUGGGGGAAAAAAAAAUACCUAGUCCCACUUCACAGGUACCUGGAAUUCAUGAAAUCCGAGGACUUCGCUCAUUCAACUUUCAACUGAAAGCUCAAGCACAAAACACCAAAGGCUCACAGAGAGAGGGAUCAGGACCUGGCAGCACGGGGAAGAUGUGUGCCAGCAAUCGCUUGCGAAACCCCAUUAUUUUGCGGGCCUUUGACAGCCCAUGGCUCUGUUUUCUGUGAUUCAGAUUUGCUGACCACACCACAUCAACUCUCAGAUUGUUCCACGGUGAAUGCAAGGUUCCAGUGGGCUGGCCUGUGUGACUAGUUCAUUCUAGAUCCCGGCUUUCUGUAGUAGUGCUGCCUAGUUUUUUUCCUCCCGAGCAUAUCUGCUUCAGGAAGUGUGGAGAGAAGAGAGGUUGAUGGGAAAAUCCUAUCAAGUGACAAUGACAUGUCCUGGUGGAAAAAGUUCUGGGCUAAACAGAUUCGGGGUUUUACUGUUAAGCUAACACGAGAUUACCUAUCCUAACAAGAUUUAAGCAUCGUGUUUUUCUAAAUGCUCUUUCAUUUGUGUUAAAACGGGGGGAGGGGGGGAUAUGACAUCUAACCCUUUUUUCCUGAGAAAAUAAUCACCAUCCUCCAUGCUUUGCCAACAAAAAUCUGUUUUCCCCUCAUUUAUUAUGGGAGCUCCAGUAUCUGCAACUUGGGAAAAUCACCACUGUAGCCGGGAUAUUUGUUUGGUUUUGCCUUUGGCCUUUUUGUGCAGGAAUGAUCUGUACACAUGUGAGUACACAUGCAUUUGUGUGUGCCAUGUGCCCAGGUGUUGCUUGAAGGUGAGGCACUCUCAGAAGUGUAAGAAAUCAUCACAACCAUUUACAAGGAAGAAGUUCUUCCUUUUCAUUCUCUGGACCUUUCAUAAUUUUGUGUUUUUCAUUUUAC